UACGUGAGGGUGCGAGCGUUGUCCGGAAUUACUGGGCGUAAAGAGCUCGUAGGUGGUUUGUCGCGUUGUUCGUGAAAACUCACAGCUUAACUGUGGGCGUGCGGGCGAUACGGGCAGACUGGAGUACUGCAGGGGAGACUGGAAUUCCUGGUGUAGCGGUGAAAAUGCGCAGAGUAUCAGGAGGAACACCGGUGGCGAAGGCGGGUCUCUGGGGCCGAAUACUGACGCUGAGGAGCGAAAAGCGUGGGGGGAGCGAAACAGG
rnacentral:rRNA from 1 species